CUCCCGGCAUCUCACUGGCGAAAGCAGCGGGCUGGGCAAGAGCGGAGCCGGUGAAGAAUGCCCCCAUCCCCCCCGCGCCGCAGUGAUAAAUAACUAAACGCCACGAGGCAGAGAACCCCUUCUUGGUUGGGAGCGUGGGAGAAGAAGUGGAGGAGAUCUGGCGUCCUGGACUGCACGGGUUCCGGGGUGAUGGGUGAGGAGCUGGAGAGAAGAGCAUAGUGCAGAAUCAGCUAGGUUGGAAAAGAUCUCUGAGACCAUCAAGUCCUGUCUUAUGACCGAGCACCACCAUGUGAAAGUAACCGUGACACUAAGUGCCACGUCCAGUCUUUUCUCAAACGCCUCCAGGGAUGGUGACUGCACAGCAGCAGCUCCUCACACGCCUUCCUUUGAAGCAGUCCCAGCAUCCUGAUUUCCCGUGCGCAUUGCAAAGUCCUCCCUUUCAGCACGUGAUGGAAUACAUUUAGAUUCAUUGUGUUACUUGCUGGCUUGUAUUCCAUGGGAGGUGGCAGUGGCAGUUGGUUUGGAUAUUUUGAAUGAAUGGCACGGGUAUGUAACAUGCAUUACCAACACUUUUUAUGUUACAGAGGCAAAAUGCCACUCCUAUACUAUAAAAUAAUUCUCCAAUAUGUUAGAAUAGCGAUCUGAAGUUACUUGCUUCAUUGUUAAAAAAGCUUACUUGAGGACUUCCUGGGGCUUUCCUGAAAAAUUUUGGAUUAAUGAGAUACUAAGAUCCUGCUUUUACUUAAAAGGGAACAAUAAAGACAAGGGAAAAAAAAAAGCAGGGGGCAGGCGGAUAAAAGGAGGAGAAAAGAAGAAAAUCAGUAACAUUUUGAUUUGGUUUGUACAGUUAUUAAUUCUUCAGGAAAAAAAAAUUAUCUAACAGUCUUUUAUUCCCAGAGUGCUUAAUUGGCACUCUGCCUUAAGUGAACCAGAAAAUUGCUCACUUGGAAUGAGAACUGGAAAAAUAGCACAGUUAAACCCAGUGACUUGAGACAAGAAAAAUCUCUAGUGCUGCAGUAUCUUUUUGGUAGUCCAGUUAACCAAUAUCUGGUUCUUGCAGGACACAUGCUAUAGAAACAGUUGCCUUCUGACCCAGUAUACCAACCAGAGCCUGUGCACUGGAAACCAGUGAUUUUUGCAAUAAGAGAAGUGAUUAUAAUGAGGUAGGGGAAGAAGUCAACACCCUUAAAAGUAGAAUAAAACCUCGCUGUUCAGAGCAAGGUCUUUGUGAAGUAGUUGUGGCUUCUAUCACUAUUUAAUAGCCAUACACGGGUGAUUUUAUUGGGCAGGAAAGAUGAAAGGAAGGUCCUGAUAAAUGAGGGCAAGAACUUUGGAAGAAAAGCUGACAGCAUGUAUAAUUGCAAUUUUGAAAUGAGAAAAUAAAGGCAGCUCACCUGAGUGCUUAUAAGAGUCAAAGACCAUACAGGAUAGUGAGGGACUGAGCUCAGUUUGGUUGGGAUUUUUUUUCAGUAAUGUUCACCUCCUAGAAGAAACCUGUAUGUCUCAGAACAGUUGUUCCCUGAGUUCUCCUUGCACUAAGCAGGGUGAGUAUUCUAGAAAUACGCUGUAAUUAUUGUAAAACUAAACUGCCCCAUGCAUCUGGGGUCUCAAAGUAUUUCUCUUACUGCUUCUUUCUGUGGAGCAGAGACUUGGAAAAAGCCAGGCAGCCCAUCCUCACUGCCUUGGCAUGUGAGGUGAAUGCUUCCUUCUGUGCCUGGUCGCUGUGCCCACAGUGGAUAAUACCUGUGUGAAUGGUCUCAUAGUUGGUAGGGCUUGUCAACAAGAGGUCAGAAAGCUUCCCCUGGAGACCAAGAGAAGGAGGUUCAGUGUUUUGAUUUCUGCUGUGAUUUGCUUCAAGAAUCUGUCUUCUUCUCCAUGGUUUGAUGAAAUUUCAUUUCUCGCCAGACUCCAUUUCCUUGAAAAAUGCUGUGGAAUUUCCUCACUGCACCAACCUCCCAGGGUAUUUUGGCAGCAGCUUUUCAACAUUGUUUCUCCACCUACAUCAGGUAGAUACCAAGACAAGAACUGACUGUUGCUGUUUCUAGCAUUGUCUCUCAGUACAUUGCAAAUGCAUACAUAUAUGUAUUUAUAUAUAGUUUGACAUAUGAUUUUCAGCUAUGUUAAAAGCAUUAUGGUGUAGUAGUAUGCAUCCUUCUGUUCCUGUCACUCUGUGGGGAGAAGAACAUCUAGCACACACUCUUUCUCCCAAGACAAUAACUACAGAGAUCACUUAGGAACUGCAAAAGCCCAAUAAAUGGUGAAGAACCUGUAUGUUACAGCCAUUGUGUAAGGAAGCUGCCUGUGUUCCCAGGAAGACGUCUUUGAGAACACUGGUGAAGACUGAGAGAUUGACAGGAUGAAGAUAGGGCUGUAGCACAUGGCACUGUGGAAAUUUUGGAAUUGACCCAAGCUGUUCUUGGUAGCCUAAUUUGGAGCAUCUUCUUCAGCUUUUUUGGCUCAAAAGUGAUAGAGAAUCUAUAGCUUAGAUGUUCUCAGAGCUGCUUUUAACUCCAUAGUGUUUCUCUUGUUUUUUUCAUAUACACUGUGGGAUUAUUAUUGUUCUCUGUUAUAUCAAUAAUUACAGGGAAACCCCAUUGACUGGUGAAUUCAGUAGACUUACUCUAGGCUUAGUCUGACAUCAAAGAGAGUAUUUAUUUUAUAAAACCUUUAUAAAGCCUUACCUAUCAGUAACACCUGGUGGGCUAAAUGAGGCUGAGUUUAAAACCUAUAAACUAAAACAUUUUUGGCAUAUUGAAAUUAAUUCCCUGCCAAUUAAAAUUUUCAGCAGUCAUUCAGAGGUCAUUCUUGUUGCUUCAGUGCUGUGCAGCCAAUGAUGCCCCUUGUAGAUAUUAAAUACCAAAAAUAUAUUUUGUUGACAAAGCUGACACUUCUUUUUCUCUCUCUGUUUCUUUAUUUCACUAUAGCUAACUGAAGAGAUAAAAAACAGCCGUUUCGCUGCUUUGUAAAGAAAUGUGCUUUCCUCCUGCUUGUCUGCCACAGAUUUCACCACCAGGAGGCCCUCGUUCCAGUGCUUAUAGCUAGGCAAAGAAAACACAAGGAGAGUGGAAAGAAUCAUACAAGAUUAAUCUGAAAUUAAUACUUAUCCUGUAAACUGAGAUUUUCAGAGUACUGUGCAGGCAUCUAUUAAUUAAUUAUUGCAAGUAUCCUAAUAUCCCGCUAUCAUGGAUGCCAUGACUUUUGGAGAUAAUGGAGUGUCUGUCACAGGUGGUACUCUUCAUUGAAUAGCUGAUUGAUAGCCAGGAAACUUCAUGCCUCUGUCUUCUGGAUGGAUCUUAGUAACCUAAAAAAAUAAUAAAAUGCAGUAAAGCACAGGUUAUAUUUCUAAUCCCUCAUGUGUGCCCUCUAUCACCCAACAAAUACACUUUCACCUACUUUGCCUCUGCCUUCUCUCUUUUAGUUACUUACUUAUUCAUUAGUUUUUAAUGCUUUCAUUUUUAACAGCUGGCUUUUACAGUGUCCUAAAAGUCCUGCACUAACACUCUUUCUGAUUGUUUUAUUUUGCUAACCAGACCUUUAAAGAAAGGAGGAAGGAGAAAUGUUUUUAUCCUUCUUUUUUUACCAAAUCACGUACUUCUUCCCUAUUAGUUUUUCAAAGCUGCAGUCAUUACUUUGCCUGAAAUGUAGACUUUGUUAUUCAAAAGAACACUGUGUACAUGAUCUCUUGACCAAAAAGACUGUAGAGUUGUCAUUCUUUCUUCUUUAAACCCUAUUUAUUUUCGUCUUCACUGCUGAGUCAAGCCUUGUAUAUCUGUUUCUGUGCUUACUUUCCAAGGUUAUGUUUCAGUACUGAUGAGUCCAAGACACAGCUUUGCAGUGCAAUUUCAGAAUGGAUGAUAGGUGAGAAGUUUCACUCCUGUCAGGAAAUGCAGCUCCUGCAAGCUGUAAGUUACCCUCAGUUGCAAACUGAGUUGCCCCUUGUCUUUCAGACUCAGUUCCUGCCCUCCUUCCCUGAAUUCAUACAUGCAUACAACAUAUUUAUAUCUCUAUGGCCUCUCUAACAGGUACUAGCUUGGAAAACAUGUAUCCUCUGCUCUAAGAAGCAGAAAAAGUGUAAAUGAAGCCAUGCAUGAAAAACACAAAGUUCCCAGGCCUCUGAGGAGGUUUUCCAAUCAUUGCUCACCAUUCUGGCCACACUGUUCACUUGAAAGAGUUUACACAAAUACACAGGCAGUUGAGCCACUCAACUCUGGAGAGAAUCCAUUGCUUCCUGACAGAAUUUGCCACAAGGCUGUCCUUGGAGACUGGGAGACCAAAGGUUCAGAGAACCUGUGUGGCCCACGUAGUAGUGAAUGCUUGUGUUAAGCUUUAUUUUACUCUGUUCCUAUUACCUGGCUACUCUUUGCUUGCUUCCACAUCUGUAUUUCAUUCUUUUCCUUGUCUCUUUCUUUCAUAGUCAUUUGUUUCCAUGGCUCACUUAAGAUGUCCUUUCCAGGAAAUGAUGAAAUUUUAGCCUCCAGUCAGUACAUUCCUUAUGAGCAGAUUCAGGGAAAGGGAAUACCAGGGAAAGGGUCUCUUUGUAUGGGUUGGUGUUUGAUGCUGUUGUAACCCUUCACUACGAACUGCUGGAGACAAGAUGUUUGGCCUUUGGACUGUGCUGCUGAGCUGUUUAUAAGGGAGAGCAAACAGGUCUUAUCAAAUGCAAAAAUUGGAAGUAAUGUGAUCUUUAGAUGAUGUGGAGUCUGCAACGUGACAAUGGACUGUGUGACCCAGAAAGUCCUUUUGGGUAUCUGCUGCCUGCUCAUAUGCAGAUGAUGUUGCUUUUCAGGCUUUUUAGGAAUGCAGGUGACAGCUCACCAGUGGUCUGCACUACUCCAGGAUGCCAAUUUAUAAUCUAUUCCUAUGAGGCCAGUAGUAUUUACAGCAAUAGAUGGGAGAUCUGGUUGGUUCUGGUUUCCUGUCCUAAUUCUGUGUUGUUCCCUGGGGUAGCAAAGGAUGCAAAUAUGAGACAUAUUAGGACCAGGCAGAAGGUGAUCUUGGUAGGUCAACAACUGUCAUACAAGUAGCUGCACAGCGAUGACAAGCAGUUCAGAAAAGACCAGUAAGACUGGUAGGAAUGCAGGAUAAAAAUAUAUCCACAAAUAUCUGUGGCCAGCAAGUGAAUGUGUCACAGAAGCUCAGGCUUUCAUUAAAAGUAUUCAUUGCUCUUAAGGAAAAAUUCCUUGUCUGACCAUCCAGAAGCCACUCUGCCAGCCACACUCGGACUAGAAGCCCUUUCUCAGUGGGGAACUCCAGUGACCCAGCAGAUUCCUCACUUGACUCCCUAUAUCCUCCACACUCCAAACAGUCAGACCAGGUUUCCCCACUGGCUCAAGCUGGGAUUUCCCUUAGCAGAGUCUCAAAUAUAUGGAUCCUUAAAAUAAUUUAAUCAUGGCAACAAAAAAAUAGCAGCUCGACUGGGUGCUUCUGAGAAGGGACCCCAAAGAAAGCCCUAAGUUUUUAUACCCUCCCAAUCUGUGAGUGACAAAGUCCUGGCUCUCCAGCUGAGUCCUUGGCUCUUGCUGUGUCCGUGUGUCCAGUCACCUGGCUGUGCCACAGGUCCUGUGCUCUCUGUUGUGCAAAGGGUCAGUGCCAGCUCCUGGCCUCUUGCCUGGGGCUCUCACCACCCAGAACCCAACCUGCAGCUGACACUGCAGCUGCACACCGAGCUACCUGCACUUAAUGUGCUCCUCAACACCCUGUGUCUUGUUACUAUAACUAAAAAGUUUGUUGGUUUGGGUUUGUUGGAUUUUUUUUUUUUGGUGGUUUUUUUUUGUUUUGGUUUGGUUUUUUUUUUUGUUUGUUUGUUUUUUUGUUUUUUUUGUUUUUUUUGUUUUUUGUUUUUUUCAAUCAAUUUUGUCACAUGACAUGAAACAGGAGUUAUCCUGUAACCAUUAAAAAAGACUUUCUUGAAGUCCUUGGCAGAUGUUCUAUCACCCUUAUUUCAAACACAGGCCUACAAGCACCUUUUACACUUCCUCUGCUGUUCAGGAGUUCUUAUUUAUUGCAGGUCGUCAUUCCCCAGUCAACACUCACUGCCUAUAUUGUACUUGCUAGCCAAGAUCCCAGAGCCAAAAUCCAAGAUUUCCUUGAGAAAAGAGGUAAGGGAAGAAUGUGGUACAGGGAAAAUUAUACUUAACUUUGACUUACACACCAAGUGCUUAAAUAUUGUAAAGAAUCUCAUCUUUUUAAUGGGAGGGAAGGCAUGUCAUAUUUAGAAACUGGUUCCCUGCUCACACAUCUGUGUAAUUUGAUUCAUUUUGGAAAUAAAAGCAAAUGAAAAUCUGA